GGAGGAGGAAGAAGCUGUGUUUGGAAGGGAUAAUGGAUUGAUUUCCGAUAUGUGCGAGGGCUUGAUGAUGUCGCCGCCGCCGCCUCUCUACGAUUAUGGCGUCGAUGUGGAAGUGGAAGCAGAUGAAAUACCACUCUGGAGUUACUCUUUAUAAAUAUAUAUAAUGAGUUUCUGUUUUAUGCAAACAUUAGGAUCCUUUGUUCUACUUUUUUUGGCAAGUACCAAGGUAAGGAAAGAGGUAUACAAAUAUAGAAAAACAUGUUUCACUCACUCAAAAAGUGGAAACUAUAGUAUCAUACUUUCCCCGGCCCCCCUUGUUUUCCUAACACCAAUCUUAACGGCAAAUAUCACAGUUGAGAUAAUCUCAAUAUAUGUUGAUUCUUAAAUGAAAUAACAGAUUUUAACCUAAAGUUCAGAUAUAGCACCUAAAGGAAGCCUUCAAAUAUUGAUCCCAAGAGUUCAACCAACCAUUAAAAAAAAAAAAAAGCAUUCCUCUCGCUUUAAUAAACUCACCUUUUCUUCCCCCUCAUACCGCUUAAAAAUUUAUUGCAGGUUUUAGGAAACAAACCCAGCAUCUGAAACCAUAAAAAUAAUAAUACUAAUAAUAACAACCAGCAUCUGAAUCCACUCAAGCAUAAAGAGAAGGGCCGAAUCAUUGCUACAAGUGAAUGAAUACGCGCCGAAACUAAAAAAAUAUUUCCGCCGAGAUCCGGUUUCUUUAGCUACACGUUUAUGCUCUCCGCCAGUUUCCUGCAGAGAUGGGGAACUGGUCGGAGGUGGGAUUCUAUUCGAGGGUCAAUGGAGAGGGAGAGGGAGAGAGAGAGAGAAAGAUUGAAGUUUUUGAGGAAUGAGGAGUGUGAAUAUCAAUCUGGCACAUUCGAAAUCUAUUUUGAGACACCUGGCAGCAUAUUACGAGUUGAUGCAAUGUCUAUAUUUAAUACUAUUAAAUUAUAUAUAAAAAAAAGAGUUGAUGCAAUGUGAUGUAGGGUUCUAGGUUGGAAUAUAACCUAUUUUUUUAUCAGAAAAAACAUUUUAUCAAAACACUCCAAUAGGGUACCAGAGGUACGAAAUGGUCAAGCCAGAAAGAAACUUACAUGGAAAAACAAAUCACCAACAACAUGAGCUAUAGCUAACAAUUCUCCAAACCAAGGACUACACAAAAACUCAAAACAGCAUCUGGUCAAGGAAAAGAAAAAAUAAAAGAGGAGCUUGAUGAAGAUAAGCUACAGGAGCACGAUAAAAUAUAUGUCAAUAAUUUGUUGGUAAUUCUAUUUAGCAUUUGUCAUUUGGGAUUUUCUAUGUUACCCUAGCACAUCCACAUUUGAGAGUUAACGUGGACGCUUAAAAAUGGCCUUAUCGUUUAAAAGUUCAUCUUUCAUAUUGAAAGAGUUAACACUCGGAUUCUUUAUUUUUAUUUUUAAUAUUAUUUUCAAUUAAUUUUAAUAUUAUAUUUAAUAACAUAAAUUUUAUUUAAAAUAAGAUUUAAAACUAUAUUUAUUGAAACAUAAAAAUGCAUUAGAAUAAAAUAAAAAUUCUAAAUUAAUUCAAAUUAAAAAGAAAAUAAAAAUAAAAUCAUAAUUUAUCAUUACAUUAAUUAAAAAAAUGCAAUAAUUACAAAAACAUUACAAUAAUUUUCAUUUCUAUUUUAUCCUUAUUUUAAAUGCAUUUAUAUAUUUAAAAUAAUAAUUAAAAAGUGUAAUAAAAAAUUACACUUUACCAAUUCUGGAAUUUCACAGAAAAUGUCACCCAACACUUAGUUUUACACAUUUUAGAUCUUGUUGUUGAAGCAAAAUGCUGAUGUUAUAGUAAGCAUCGGAUUUUCAUUGGAAAAAAGUGCUUGUGUACUCAUUUCCGUUAUACAUUGUGUGACACUCAAAUCCAUUUUAAUUUUACAUGAAAACGCACGCGGAAAAUCAUUACUAUAAAUAAAUAUUUAACAAGAAAAUAGUGAAAUAAAUUUUUAUUUAAACAUACUUUACUCAAAAUAACAUUUUAACUAUAGCUAAAUUAAAAACAUUUGACUCGCCAUUCGACCUUCCACGCGCCUCCGGUCUUUAAAAACCUGAAAAUGUUAAAUAUGGGAUGAGCAUACAGGGUACACUCAGUGUGGGAACAUGCAAUCAUUGUCCAAGAUAAUAACACAGUAAACACAUACGGUCACUUCAUAUAUAUCCUCAAUAUUCGCACUGUGGCAAUCCAAGGACUAUUAAAGUCCCGGACCCUAUUUACGGGCCCCUGGUGACAUCCUCAAAAUAUACCUCAAAUCGCAUUGUGGCAACCCAAGGACGGUGAAGUCCUGGACCCUAUUUACGGGCCCCUAGCGAUAUCCUCAAAAUAUACGUCAUAACACAUAUGGUAAACACAUAUUAUUAAAAUGGACAAGAAUUAACCACAGCAUGUACUAAAAUAAAUCUCACACCUGAAAUUUGAGCUUUGAAAAUCAACUUGAGUAAUUCAAAUCAAAAUCGACGUCUUAGUUGCCCGUACCUAAUUACAAUUAAUAAAAGAAUAGAAAAACUUAAUUAUUAUAAAUAUACAUACUCGUGCGUCUGUGCGUGUGUUAAUAUAUCACUAAAUUAUAUAAGAACUAGCAAGGUAAGAAAAUUACCUUAGUGUAUUAUCAAAUAUUUAGUUAGUGAUGAUGGAACUGUCACCCCAAUUCUCGUCUAUUUAUACUAGUUUCAAAUUUAAAAUACAAUGAAUAUAAAGUGUAGGCUUGAUGAGUCAUUAUGUAGGCUUUGUAGGUUGGCUUAGUUAUUUAUUUAGGAAAACUCCACGUAUACCUUAUGCAAUAAUAUAAAUAGAUGAUAUUAUCUAUAACUACAUACAUAUCUAUUGUUUUCGUGUACUGAUACAUACAAAUUUACACAUUUAUUAAAUUAUUUUAUUGUUUUGUUUUUCUAGAUACAUAUAUAUAUAUAUAUAUAUAUAAUUCAACUUAUAUAACUUAAAAAUUCAAUUUAUAUAAUUUCAAAUUUAAAAUGCUAUAAAUCGUACAAAUAUAUAGAAUUAAAAUAUUUUCUGCAAAUUUUAUAGCUUAAAAAUAUAAUAAUUUUCAAAUAAAUUAUAUAAGGAAAAUAAAUGGUUUUGGGCUGUGACACAUUGCAUUUCCGUUAUACGUAUUUCCGGCUUUUAUUUUGUUUUUAUGUUUUGUUUGUGUUUCUUGAUUCCUAAUUUUUUUGUUGUUGUUUCAAGCGUGCAUGAUUGCAUGAUUCAAAGAAAAUGAGCAUCUAGGGUCUUUGAAUUUGGAGAUUGAGAAGUAGUACAAGCGAGCUAACCAAGAGAAAAUGAAGCAUACUAUGGUAGAGAAAGUUUGUGAUCCCGCAAAGUUUAUGCACGUGGUGGCAGAUCUUCAAAGACAACUAGAAGAAUUAGACAAACGUGCACAACUUCCUCCACCACCUCUUACCCAUGAAGUCAUUAAUGAACCCAAGAAGGCAUCGCUUAAGAAGAUGAUGCAGCAGUUAACUAGGAUGGCAAAUAUGAAGUCCAUUGAAAUGGCUCUGUCCAAACAUAUGAAGAUGCCUGAGACUCAUAUUGGCCAGAUGGCGAAUCGUGCAGCUGCGCAGCACAAGCCUGAGCUGCAGGAUACCGAGGAGAAAGAUGAGGAGAUUGAGAAGAUAGCAGCUAAUGAGCCACCUACUCCGAAGGAGAAUUUUAGCAUCUCUCUUAUUUUCUGCUGCUAUAGAGCUUGUUUUAUAUUCCUGCUCAUCCCAGGUCCGAGUACCAGCUUGUUGCUCCAUUCCUCCCCUGCUUAGCCAAGCCAAAUACUAAUGAAAAGAUGGCAAUGACCCCGAUAACUUUAUUGUUGUUUGUGUGAUUGAUUGACUUACCUUUUUUCAGAGGUAUUAUGGAUUUAGAGGUUUGCAUCAUUUUGAUGCCUCUCUUUGCUUUCUACCGUGUGGGGAUAAAUGAGCCAUGAGGUACCGUCAAGCUCUACACGUUAAAUUAAGCACACUUUGGGAGGUAACUCAACUGUUUUUUUUAUCUUUAUUUUAUUUUUCCUUUUUCUAUUGUUUUCAUUGUUUUGUUUCUUUCGGAGAAGAGAUCGCAGAAGAGCUUGGAAGAUACGGAUUUGGAGCCUCGUCCACACCACCACCUUGAAACAUAUUUUUCUGUGAGUAAUGACACACAAAUUUUCAUCCCUCCAAACUUAUUUUCGAACCUGUUGUUCUGUAAUAAGUUUGGGGGAGGGGGUGCGAUUAGAUAUGUGUAUCACUUUUAUUCUCUUGAUGCUAUUAUUGUCUUAUUUUUGCUAGGCUUAAUUGGUGUUGGGUUGAGUUGUUUAUUGCUCCACUUGAAUUCUGGUAAGAUGUCAUUGAUGUCUUCUUCAAAAAUUUGUGAAUUUAAUUUUUCUUGAUGAUUUGAGCAUAAUUGAAAUUGAUUUGUAUAGCCCAAUGAUGAUUUUAGCCUUUACUUUUGGAUGUUGAAUAAACCUAUCAUUUAUAGAAAAAUCAUAUGAUUCUUUGUCUAUUCCGAAUUAAAUUUGAUGAUCAGAUUCUUCAAUCACUUCUCAUAUCUUGAAGCUUUUGACUAAUUUUUUUUUAUUCAUUUAAAUAUGCAGAAUUAAAAAUUAUUGUUACAAUAUAUCAUAGACUAUAUUUAAAAAACAAAGAAGACAAAAAUAAUUAGUGCCAAAUUUAUAGUAACAAUUUUAUGAUUCUUUUCUAUUACAAGUAAGUCUUGAGCAUCGUGCACAGUCAUAUCCGCUUACAUAAUCUAUUUUGAGAAAAUAUCAUGAAUGUGCUGUGCGACUCAUAGCUAGAGACUGCACAUGUGGGGCCCGGCUAAAUAAGUGGAAUAAUUAUCUUGUAAGAGAGGUGGUCCCACACAGCCAUUACAUUACAUUAUAAAAAUACCCAAAAAAGCAAUACAAUCUCCGGUCCAAGAGUUUCCUAGUAUACAUAAUACACCACACGCUAUUUUCAAUCGUCUCCAAACAAGACAUGUUGGGUGCAAAUGCGAUACUUCAAAUCAUUUUUUCGAAAGCAGCACUAACUACUCUUAAUCGUCACACGUGGACAAAUUAAAUUUUAUGAGCUGUAGGGACCACCCCGAGAUAUAUAUAUAUAUAUCCCACUUGAUUUCAUGAUAUGUCUUACAUUUUGAAUUAUCCCAUACAAUUUCGUUUAUUUUCUUUUUGAUUAAUUAAUUUUCAAUAUACUCCAUCCGUCCCAACGGAAACGGUGCACUUUUUUUCGGCACAAAAUUUAAGGAGAAUAAGAUUAUAAUGUAAAAGUGUGUAAAGAUGUGUGAGAUCAUAUUAUUUGUAAUGUAAAAUUAUUACCAAAAAUGAAAAUACACCACUUUCGUUGAGACGGUUCAAAAAAGAAUAGACACUACUACCUUUGUUGAAACGGAAGGAAUAGUAAAUAUGAAUUCACAUAAAUUUACAUUACAAUCUUUUUCCACUAAAUAGCUGCGCCCAACAUAAGUAGUCAAGUGAGAGGGAAGACAAAGAAUAAUUGUUACUCCCUCCGUCCCACCAUUUUAGUCUCUUAUUCCAUUUUGAGAUGUCCCAAAAAGAUAGCCCACUUUUCUAAUUAAUACUAUAUAAAAAUAUUAUUUUUACUUAAUUAAUCUUAAUUAAUGCUUCACUUAAAUGUGAAAAGGAUGUGUGAAAAUAAUAAAUAAGGGUAUAAAAGAUAAAAAUAUAAAAAUUAAAUACAUUUUCUUAAUAUAUGUGAAAAAUGGAAGGGGACUAAAAUAGUGGGACGGAGGGAGUACUAUUUGUUAAAUAAUGUAAAGUCUUGGUUCCUUGCAAGCUGCACAUAAAUAUCAUAAUUGGUAUGUUACACUCCUCUCCUCCACCCCAACACAUUAUUACCACAUUAUACCUACUCCACUCCUUCCCUUUCCCCAUAAAAAUAAGCAUGGAUCCAAUUCCAAACCUCAAAUAAGCAAAACAUAUAUAGGUAUGUUUGGGAAAAACUAUUCCGGCGUCCCAGAGCUACCGGAACCGUCGGCCGGCGGGAACGAACAGGUGAUUCUAGCUUCCGCCAGCCCGAAGAAGCCGGCGGGGCGGAAGAAGGUCCGCGAGACGCGCCACCCAGUCUACCGCGGCGUCCGGUUGCGGAGUUCCGGUAAGUGGGUUUGCGAGGCGAGAGUGCCCAACAACAAAUCAAGAAUCUGGCUGGGGACUUUCGCCACUGCAGAAAUGGCGGCGCGUGCACAUGAUGUAGCCGCCAUUGCGUUGAGAGGCCGGAUGGCUUGCCUGAAUUUCGCCGACUCCACGUGGCGGCUGCCUGUUCCGGCGUCGUGCAGUGCUCAGGACAUUCAAAUGGCUGCGGCGGAGGCAGCUGAGACAUUCAGCCCGGAGUCAGCUGAGACAUUCAGCCCGGAGUCAGCUUCGUUGUCUAUGGCGGAGGAGGAAGAAGCUGUGUUUGGAAGGGAUAAUGGAUUGAUUUCCAAUAUGUGUGAGGGCUUGAUGAUGUCGCCGCCGCCUCUCUACGAUUAUGGCGUCGAUGUGGAAGCAGAUGAAAUACCACUCUGGAGUUACUCUUUAUAAAUAAUGGGUUUCUGUUUUUGUUUUAUGUAACCAUUAGAUUAGAAUCCUUUGUUCUACUUUUUUUGGCAACUACCAAGGUAAGGAAACAUGUAUACAAAUAUAGAAAAACAUGUUUCACUAGUCACUUUUAAUUAUCAGCAAUUUUUCAGCCAGUUGAGAGAUGAUCUCAAUAUAUAUAUGUUCAUCUGAACAUAAUAUAACGGAUUUUAAGACUCUAGCUAGUAGUAAAUUGCUCAACUUUGUGAGAACCUAAAGGCUUCAAAUGUUUAUCCCAAGCCUACGCUGUCCAUUAAAAAAAAAAAAAAGGCAUUCUCUUGCUGUAUUAAACUCACCUUUUCUUCCCAGCUUAAAAAUUUCUUGCAGGUUUUAGGAAACAAUUAAUUAAAGGCAGCAUCUGAAUCGACGCAAGCAAAAGAGAAGGCCCGGAUGAUUGCUAUAAGUGAAGGAAAUUAAAAAAUAUUGUUUCAGCUCCACGUUUAUGGUCUCCGGCGAGAGAUGGGAGAGAGAUAGAUUGAAGCUUUUUGGGAGUGUGAAUAUCAAUCUGGCACCUUCGAAAUCUAUGACACCUUGGCGGUAUAUAAGAGUUGAUGCAAUGUGUAAUAGGGUUACUAGGAUGGAAUGUCAAUAAUUUAUUCAUAAUUCUAUUUAGUAAGCAUUAACCAUUUGGGACUUUCUAUCUUAGCUUUAGAGGGUGGUUGGCUGAUAUUAAUUUUUUUUUUGGAAAUUUUCAUAGAAUAUUAGUAAUUUUACAUUUUAUAUUAUUG
rnacentral:lncRNA from 1 species